CCUACGGGUGGCAGCAGUGGGGAAUAUUGCACAAUGGGGGAAACCCUGAUGCAGCGACGCCGCGUGAGUGAAGCAGUAUUUCGUUAUGUAAAGCUCUAUCAGCAGGGAAGAAAAUGACGGUACCUGAGUAAGAAGCCCCGGCUAACUACGUGCCAGCAGCCGCGGUAAUACGUCGGGGGCAAGCGUUAUCCGGAUUUACUGGGUGUAAAGGGAGCGUAGACGGCUGUGCAAGUCGGAAGUGAAACCCGAGGGCUCAACCCUGGGACUGCUCUUGAAACUGUACGGCUAGAGUGCAGGAGAGGUAAGUGGAAUUCCGAGUGUAGCGGUGAAAUGCGUAGAUAUUAGGAGGAACACCAGUGGCGAAGGCGGCUUACUGGACUGUAACUGACGUUGAGGCUCGAAAGCGUGGGGAGCAAACAGGAUUAGAUACCCUUGUAGUC
rnacentral:rRNA from 1 species